CCCUGGCUGUCUCAGUAGGUAGAGUAUGUGACUUUUAAUCUCAGGGUUGUGAGUUCAAGCCUCAUGUUGGGUG
rnacentral:tRNA from 1 species